rnacentral:rRNA from 1 species
AGUGAACGCUGGCGGUAGGCCUAACACAUGCAAGUCGAACGGCAGCACAGUAAGAGCUUGCUCUUACGGGUGGCGAGUGGCGGACGGGUGAGGAAUACAUCGGAAUCUACUUUUUCGUGGGGGAUAACGUAGGGAAACUUACGCUAAUACCGCAUACGACCUACGGGUGAAAGCAGGGGAUCUUCGGACCUUGCGCGACUGAAUGAGCCGAUGUCGGAUUAGCUAGUUGGCGGGGUAAAGGCCCACCAAGGCGACGAUCCGUAGCUGAUCUGAGAGGAUGAUCAGCCACACUGGAACUGAGACACGGUCCAGACUCCUACGGGAGGCAGCAGUGGGGAAUAUUGGGCAAUGGGCGCAAGCCUGAUCCAGCCAUACCGCGUGGGUGAAGAAGGCCUUCGGGUUGUAAAGCCCUUUUGUUGGGAAAGAAAAGCAGCAGGUUAAUACCCCGCUGUUCUGACGGUACCCAAAGAAUAAGCACCGGCUAACUUCGUG